GAUGAACGCUGGCGGCGUGCUUAACACAUGCAAGUCGAACGAAGCGCUUAAGAUUGAUUCUUCGGAUGAUUUCUUUUGUGACUUAGUGGCGGACGGGUGAGUAACGCGUGGGUAACCUGCCUCACACAGGGGGAUAACAGUUAGAAAUGACUGCUAAUACCGCAUAACCCGAUAGGAUCGCAUGAUCCAGACGGAAAAGAUUUAUCGGUGUGAGAUGGACCCGCGUCUGAUUAGCUAGUUGGUGAGGUAACGGCCCACCAAGGCGACGAUCAGUAGCCGGCCUGAGAGGGUGAACGGCCACAUUGGGACUGAGACACGGCCCAAACUCCUACGGGAGGUAGCAGUGGGGAAUAUUGCACAAUGGAGGAAACUCUGAUGCAGCGACGCCGCGUGAGUGAAGAAGUAGUUCGCUAUGUAAAGCUCUAUCAGCAGGGAAGAUAGUGACGGUACCUGACUAAGAAGCUCCGGCUAAAUACGUGCCAGCCGCCGCAGUAA
rnacentral:rRNA from 1 species